CCUACGGGAUGCAGCAGUGGGGAAUAUUGGACAAUGGGCGCAAGCCUGACCCAGCAACGCCGCGUGAAGGAAGAAGGCUUUCGGGUUGUAAACUUCUUUUAAGAGGGAAGAGCAGAAGACGGUACCUCUUGAAUAAACCACGGCUAACUACGUGCCAGCAGCCGCGGUAAUACGUAGGUGGCAAGCGUUGUCCGGGUUUACUGGGUGUAAAGGGCGUGUAGCCGGGCUGACAAGUCAGAUGUGCAAUCCCGUGGCUCAACCACGGAACUGCAUUUGAAAAUGUCGGUCUUGAGUAUCGGAGAGGCAGGCGGAAUUCCCAGUGUAGCGGUGAAAUGCGUAGAUAUUAGGAGGAACACCAGUGGCGAAGGCGGCCUGCUGGACGACAACUGACGGUGAGGCGCGAAAGCGUGGGGAGCAAACAGGAUUAGAUACCCUGGUAGUC
rnacentral:rRNA from 1 species